GAUGCAAAUGAUGGGAAAUAGCGAUCAAAGCAUGAUGUUUUGUGAUUAUAUUUUUUUCAAUACUGAUGCAUC